rnacentral:rRNA from 1 species
GACUGGGAUAACCCUGGGAAACUGGGGCUAAUACCGGAUAGGCAAUUUUUCCUGGAAUGGUUUUUUGUUUAAAUGUUUUUUCGCCUAAGGAUGGGUCUGCGGCCGAUUAGGUAGUUGGUUAGGUAAUGGCUUACCAAGCCGUUGACCGGUACGGGUUGUGAGAGCAAGAGCCCGGAGAUGGAACCUGAGACAAGGUUCCAGGCCCUACGGGGUGCAGCAGGCGCGAAACCUCCGCAAUGUGAGAAAUCGCGACGGGGGGAUCCCAAGUGCCAUUCUUAACGGGAUGGCUUUUCAUUAGUGUAAAGAGCUUUUGGAAUAAGAGCUGGGCAAGACCGGUGCCAGCCGCCGCGGUAACACCGGCAGCUCUAGUGGUAACAAUUUUUAUUGGGCCUAAAGCGUCCGUAGCCGGUUUAAUAAGUCUCUGGUGAAAUCCUGUAGCUUAACUGUGGGAAUUGCUGGAGAUACUAUUAGACUUGAGACCGGGAGAGGUUAGAGGUACUCCCAGGGUAGAGGUGAAAUUCUGUAAUCCUGGGAGGACCGCCUGUUGCGAAGGCGUCUAACUGGAACGGUUCUGACGGUGAGGGACGAAAGUUAGGGGCGCGAACCGGAUUAGAUACCCGGGUAGUCCUAACUGUAAACGAUGCGGACUUGGUGUUGGGGUGGCUUUGAGCUGCUCCAGUGCCGAAGGGAAGCUGUUAAGUCCGCCGCCUGGGAAGUACGGUCGCAAGACUGAAACUUAA